AGCGCAGGCGGUUUGGUCAGUUUAAAGUGAAAGUCCGGGGCUUAACCUCGGAAGUGCUUUGGAUACUGCCAGGCUUGAGUACGUGAGAGGAGAGCGGAAUUCCAGGUGUAGCGGUGAAAUGCGUAGAUAUCUGGAGGAACACCGGUGGCGAAAGCGGCUCUCUGGCGCGAUACUGACGCUGAGGCUCGAAAGCGUGGGGAGCGAACAGGAUUAGAUACCCUGGUAGUCC
rnacentral:rRNA from 1 species